GUCUCGUUACAGCAGGACUUUCACAGUAUGCCUUAUAUCGCAGGAACGGAUCUCUGACCGUUAGUUCAGCAUCGAGUAACAGAUGUUCUUCCAAUGUCUUUAUUUUACCUUUACCUCUUGCAGUUUACUAAUGUGGUGCCUACCUUGUCUCCACUCUAAUAGCGCAUGCAAUAUUUUAUUAGCCAGUCCUCACUAAAGGGGCACCUUAAGCUUG